GAUUUAAGGGCGAAAGGGAAUUGGGGUGUUGUGCAGAACUAUGCAAAUAGGAAUGUAUACAACAUUCCGCCACUCCCGAGAGUUCUUGAAGAUAUUGAUGGGGAAUCAAGUACUCCUGAUGCCGAUCAAGAAAACGAGCCAUCAUAUUAUUAUGAACCAUUGCAGUGUGAUAACACAGAUCAAGUGGCAACUCAACUGAAUAGGCCUGAUAUACUACCUAGCCAUGUAGAUGCACGAGAAAUCAUGGAUCCGGUUGGUCAAUGCAUAGAUUCAACAGGCUUUAUUAAUGAUGACAUGAUUACUUCUGAUUCUGGAAAUGCGGCCAGUGAGGGAGAAUAUUCAGAUGAAGAUGACCUAUCAACAAAUGAGGGGGUACAUUCAGAUGAGGAUGUCCACUCAACAUCUGAUGAGUCUGGUAACCUAUAAGUACAACCCAGGAACUUCGUUCAUUUAAGGUUACGUUCAAUACCGGGAGGCUGUGUGAGGAGCACUAUGCAUUAUCAAGGUACCCAGCCGGGGCCCAGUUCAAGAGGCGGAGGCAGACUUCGCGGUCUUCGAGGUGCAAGGCGUUAUAUCCCAUACUCAGGUCGUCACAUCCGACCCCGUGGUGCGAAAUUAUCUUCAUAUCACAGCACGGAGGAGUGUAAUCAAUCCUCCUCGGAUGAUUCGACA